UGAGUACGAGAUGCUACGGCAUCGAAGCAGUCUAUGUCAUACUUCCAAGAAAAGCUUGCACUGUCAUAAACAAAGAAUGCCUGUACCAUAACCGACACAGGUGGGUAGGUAGAGUAUACUAAGGGGCGCGAGAUAACUCUCUCUAAGGGACUCGGCAAAAUGACUCCGUAACUUCGGGAGAAGGAGUGCCUUAUUUCUAAGGUUGCAAUAACAAGAUCCAAGCAACUGUUUACCAAAAACACAGGUCUCCGCUAAGUCGUAAGACGAUGUAUGGGGGCUGACGCCUGCCCAGUGCCAGAAGGUUAAAGAAGUUGGUUAGCAUUAGCGAAGCUGAUAACUGAAGCCCUGGUGAACGGCGGCCGUAACAAUAACGGUCCUAAGGUAGCGAAAUUCCUUGUCGGGUAAGUUCCGACCCGCACGAAAGGCGUAAUGAUUUGGAUACUGUCUCGGAGAGGGGCUCGGUGAAAUAGACUUGUCUGUGAAGAUGCGGACUACCUGCACCUGGACAGAAAGACCCUAUGAAGCUUUACUGUAACUUGAGAUUGAAAUUGGACUUUAUUUGCGCAGUAUAGGUGGGAGGCGUUGAGAAUAAUCUUGCGGGAUUGUUGGAGCCAUCAGUGAGAUACCACUCUUGUAAUGUUAGAUUUCUAACUUUGUAUCAUUAUCUGGUCAAAGAACAGUUUCAGGCGGGCAGUUUGACUGGGGCGGUCGCCUCCCAAAGGGUAACGGAGGCGCACAAAGGUUUCCUCUGAACGGGUAGAAAUCGUAUCUAGAGUGUAAAGGCAUAAGGAAGCUUGACUGUGAGACCUACAAGUCGAGCAGGGACGAAAGUCGGUCUUAGUGAUCUGACGGUGCUGAGUGGAAAGGCCGUCACUCAACGGAUAAAAGUUACUCUAGGAUAACAGGCUGAUCUCCCCCAAGAGUUCACAUCGACGGGGAGGUUUGGCACCUCGAUGUCGGCUCAUCGCAUCCUGGGGCGGUAGUCCGUCCCAAGGGUUGGGCUGUUCGCCCAUGAAAGCGGUACGCGAGCUGGGUUCAGAACGUCGUGAGACAGUUCGGUCCAUAUCCGGUGUAGGCGUUAGAAUAUUGAGAGGAGCCUUCUCUAGUACGAGAGGACCGAGAAGGACAUACCUCUGGUGUACCAGUUAUCGUGCCAACGGUAAACGCUGGGUAGCUAUGUAUGGAGUGGAUAACCGCUGAAAGCAUCUAAGUGGGAAGCCCACCUCAAGAUAAGUAUUCUCAUC
rnacentral:rRNA from 1 species